rnacentral:rRNA from 1 species
UACGAAAGGUGCAAGCGUUGUUCGGAAUUAUUGGGCGUAAAGCGCACGUAGGCGGGCUCGUAUGUCGAUUGUGAAAGCCCCAGGCUUAACCUGGGAAUUGCAGUCGAAACUGCGAGUCUUGAAUACCUAAGAGGAUGGGGGAAUUGCUGGUGGAGUAGUGAAAUACGUAGAGAUCAGCAGGAACACCUGAGGUGAAGACGCCUAUCUGGUGGUGUAUUGACGCUGAGGUGCGAAAGCGUGGGGAGCAAACAGG